rnacentral:rRNA from 1 species
UGGGGAAUAUUGCACAAUGGGCGCAAGCCUGAUGCAGCCAUGCCGCGUGUGUGAAGAAGGCCUUCGGGUUGUAAAGCACUUUCAGCGGGGAGGAAGGCGUUAAGGUUAAUAACCUUGGCGAUUGACGUUACCCGCAGAAGAAGCACCGGCUAACUCCGUGCCAGCAGCCGCGGUAAUCCGGAGGGUGCAAGCGUUAAUCGGAAUUACUGGGCGUAAAGCGCACGCAGGCGGUCUGUCAAGUCGGAUGUGAAAUCCCCGGGCUCAACCUGGGAACUGCAUUCGAAACUGGCAGGCUAGAGUCUUGUAGAGGGGGGUAGAAUUCCAGGUGUAGCGGUGAAAUGCGUAGAGAUCUGGAGGAAUACCGGUGGCGAAGGCGGCCCCCUGGACAAAGACUGACGCUCAGGUGCGAAAGCGUGGGGAGCAAACAGG